GAUAAUAAACAAUGUUUGUUCAUUUGCAUAUACAAGAGAUACUUUUUGUAUAACUGUGGUAGAAAUUCAGCCAAUACCAACAAAUAUGUCAUAGAUAACAUCUCCUUCUCUUGGAAACGGAAAUCAAAUCUGAUAGGUUCAUGCUCAGUCUCUAAUUCCAGUAGAACAAACCAUAGUCAAAUAUAAAUGUAGCACCAGAUUGGACUGAGUGGUUAACUUCACUCACUAUAUCUUUUUCCAUCCUAGAAUCUCAAACUUUGAAACUAUAAAUUCAUUUGGGAUCGCAUCAACUUCUGUGAAUCCUUGGAUCCUUUUCUGUAUAUAAGCACAACCGACAAUCUUAGCCGGACCUACCAUGGGAAAAUAAAGUACAAUAUGUAAUUAUGCAUCAACAAGUAAAGCAAGACACAAACCUAAAUCAUGCUAGUGGUUGGAGAUGGAUGAAGAGAAGUCCGGAUCUACAAUAUCAUGACAAAAAAUGAGGGAUUCUCACCGACGAGCUUCCAAUUCGCAACGAGAAGGAACUCUACAUAGGACGCCUCCCACCUCAUCUUCCUGCUCACAUUUGCCUUCCUUCCAAGGCAAAACCAAC
rnacentral:lncRNA from 1 species